AUUGAACGCUGGCGGCAGGCUUAACACAUGCAAGUCGAGCGGGGGAAGGUAGCUUGCUACCGGACCUAGCGGCGGACGGGUGAGUAAUGCUUAGGAAUCUGCCUAUUAGUGGGGGACAACAUCUCGAAAGGGAUGCUAAUACCGCAUACGUCCUACGGGAGAAAGCAGGGGAUCUUCGGACCUUGCGCUAAUAGAUGAGCCUAAGUCGGAUUAGCUAGUUGGUGGGGUAAAGGCCUACCAAGGCGACGAUCUGUAGCGGGUCUGAGAGGAUGACCCGCCACACGGGGACGGAGACACGGCCCAGACGCCUGCGGGAGGCAGCAGUGGGGAAUAUUGGACAAUGGGGGGAACCCUGAUCCAGCCAUGCCGCGUGUGUGAAGAAGGCCUUAUGGUUGUAAAGCACUUUAAGCGGGGAGGAGGCUACUUUAGUUAAUACCUAGAGAUAGUGGACGUUACUCGCAGAAUAAGCACCGGCUAACUCUGUGCCAGCAGCCGCCGUAA
rnacentral:rRNA from 1 species